AUCGAUAAGACAAAAGUUAACAAGGAAAAAACGGAGGUGAACGAAUGAAAGUAACAGUCUAGGUUCACAGAACUUCGGUCCAGGCUUUGAUCAGAGACACGACACGUUCAUGAGCCCGAGAGGCAUCAGGACUUCGCGGAAAAUAGUGUUGUUUCGCUCUGUCCAUACGACCUACCAGAUUGAGGCCAAAAGAGUUAGACUUUUCGGUCUCGUCACAGCGUUGGGGUUGUUAGAGGUCUCUGUCCAUAUCCGCCGAACAUCCCCUAAGUCCGAGUCGGUUGUAUCUGGUCCUCCCGCAACAAUUCGAAGGUAUCUGACGAAGACACAGUCUCGGAAUAGGUGAUCGCAGGUUUCAAGUACUAGUACACAAAAAAUGCAAUACUGGUCCACUGAGCACCCUCAGUGAAUCAAUCUGUUCGCUGUAAGUAAUCUUUUGCGAAGUAGAAUCCAAGUGAAGAUUUUGUGCUUGAGCGGAAUUUUUAACCUCCAAAGGUG
rnacentral:lncRNA from 1 species